AUGUGUUUAAAUAGACUUUAUAGUAACAGAGACUUUUUACACACGCAUGCUGAUUGUGGCGCAUCGAUAUUGUGGUGUCAAUUUAAGUCUCAGGAAUUGAACAAAACUAAUUGUAUUUCUGAACAUAAAUUAACUGUUUCUUUAAUUUUAGUGUGUGUUUGUAUUAGUUUCCUUCGUUUAUCUCCACUGUGCCUCUCUCCUUUUCUAGCCCCUUGUCCUCCCACCAACGUGUCAGCUGUACUGAACUGCACUACACUCAACGCUCUGGUCAGCUGGAGGAGCUCAGAUGCAGCCACAUUCUACACCGUGCAGGCGACCUCCAUGAAUGGACACAACUCCUCCUGCAGUGAGAUGGGCACAUCCUGUAUCCUCAACGACCUGGUGUGUGGACAGGACUACUCUGUUGUUGUGGGGGCCAUGCACGAGGGCUGUCCUGGCCCGUCCAGUGUCCCUGCCAGGCUCACUACAGGUGCGAGCACUUCAGACCUUGGAAACAUCCGGGGCCAAACAGUAUAUUAUUAUAUAUUACAAACAAAAGAACAACAAAGAAAAGGAAAUACAAUGCGGUUCCAUGUUUGUCUCCCUCCAGAGCCCUGUGCCCCCACGAAUCUCUCUAUCCUCUAUAACAUGAGCACUGCUCAGGUGACGUGGGGGGCAGCGAGAGGUGCCGGCUCGUACUGGGUCCAGGCUGUGACAGGACAGGGCUCGACGGUCACCUGUAACUCCACCAACACCAGCUGCUCCCUGAACGGCCUGCAGUGCAGUCGGAUCUACAACGUCUCCGUGACGGCACGAAACCUGGACUGCGACAGUACGAUCGCCGAGACGCGGCGCCUCGUGACUGGUGCGUCUUCUGAUCGGGACAAGAUGUGGUACAUUGUGCGUCGUUCCCUAAUCCUUCAAUGUGUGUGUGUGUGUGUGUGUGCUCUUCGUUCAGAACCCUGCCCGUCCACCAACGUUCAAGCCAGCAUGUCGUGUGAGCAACUAAGUGCGACGGUUUCCUGGCAGCAGAGCGACCUCGCCGUAGGUUAUGUCGCCUACUUUGACAACCAGGAGGACCACAACGCUUCUUGCGUUGGGUCAGACGCAGACGCCCAAUGUGUUGUCUCAGGACUGAUGUGCGGCACCGUGUACAACGUCUGGGUCAAGGUCUUAGGCUGGCAGAACACCAGCUCUGAUAGCACAGUUACCACGCUUACAUCAGGUGAAGAUGAACUCAAUAUGUACGAUCGAUUACACGUAUUACAUAAACAUCAACACAUUUAUCAAGAAUAA
ensembl:lncRNA